AGAGUUUGAUCCUGGCUCAAAAUCAACGCUGGCGGCGUGCCUCAGACAUGCAAGUCGAACGAUUAAUCUUUCCUUCGGGAAGGAUAUAAAGUGGCGCACGGGUGAGUAACACGUAGGUAAUCUACCUUUGAGUGGGGAAUAACAAUCGGAAACGAUUGCUAAUACCGCAUAAUGCAGCGGCACCGCAAGGUGACAGUUGUUAAGGGAGCAAUCCGCUUAAAGAGGAGCCUGCGGCAGAUUAGCUAGUUGGUAAGGUAAUGGCUUACCAAGGCUACGAUCUGUAACCGACCUGAGAGGGUGGUCGGUCACACUGACACUGAAUAACGGGUCACACUCCUACGGGAGGCAGCAGUCGGGAAUUUUGGGCAAUGGGCGAAAGCCUGACCCAGCAACGCCGCGUGAAGGAUGAAGUAUUUCGGUAUGUAAACUUCGAAAGAAUAGGAAGAAUAAAUGACGGUACUAUUUAUAAGGUCCGGCUAACUACGUGCCAGCAGCCGCGGUAAUACGUAGGGACCAAGCGUUGUUCGGAUUUACUGGGCGUAAAGGGCGCGUAGGCGGCAGUUCAAGUCAGUUGUGAAAUCUCCGAGCUUAACUUGGCACGGUCA
rnacentral:rRNA from 1 species